GCAUAUCAAUAAGCGGAGGAAAAGAAACCAACAGGGAUUGCCCUAGUAACGGCGAGUGAAGCGGCAACAGCUCAAAUUUGAAAGCUGGCUCUCGGGCCCGCAUUGUAAUUUGCAGAGGAUGCUUCUGGCGACGCGCCUUCCGAGUUCCCUGGAACGGGACGCCAUAGAGGGUGAGAGCCCCGUCCGGUCGUGCGCCUAGCCUCUGUGAAGCUCCUUCGACGAGUCGAGUAGUUUGGGAAUGCUGCUCAAAAUGGGAGGUAUACGUCUUCUAAAGCUAAAUACCGGCCAGAGACCGAUAGCGCACAAGUAGAGUGAUCGAAAGAUGAAAAGCACUUUGAAAAGAGAGUUAAAAAGUACGUGAAAUUGUUGAAAGGGAAGCGCUCAUGACCAGACUUGGGCUGGCCCGAUCAUCCGGCGUUCUCGCCGGUGCACUCGGGCCGCCCAGGCCAGCAUCAGCUUUCGCCGGGGGAUAAAGGCGGCGGGAAUGUGGCUCCCUCGGGAGUGUUAUAGCCCGCCGUGCAAUACCCUGGUGGGGGCUGAGGUUCGCGCGUAUGCACGGAUGCUGGCGUAAUGGUUAUCAGCGACCCGUCUUGAAACACGGACCAAGGAGUCGUCUUCGUAUGCGAGUGUUCGGGUGUCAAACCCCUACGCGGAAUGAAAGUGAACGCUGGUGAGAGCUUCGGCGCAUCACCGACCGAUCCUGAUGUUCUCGGACGGAUUUGAGUAAGAGCAUACGGGGCCGGACCCGAAAGAAGGUGAACUAUGCCUGUAUAGGGUGAAGCCAGAGGAAACUCUGGUGGAGGCUCGCAGCGGUUCUGACGUGCAAAUCGAUCGUCAAAUAUGGGCAUGGGGGCGAAAGACUAAUCGAACCUUCUAGUAGCUGGUUUCCGCCGA
rnacentral:rRNA from 1 species